UACGUAGGUGGCAAGCGUUGUUCGGAAUUAUUGGGCGUAAAGCGCGCGUAGGCGGCUACUUAAGUCGGAUGUGAAAGCCCCUGGCUCAACUGGGGAAGUGCACCCGAAACUGAGUGGCUUGAGUACAAAAGAGGGUCGCGGAAUUCCCGGUGUAGAGGUGAAAUUCGUAGAUAUCGGGAGGAACACCGGUGGCGAAGGCGGCGACCUGGGUUGAUACUGACGCUGAGGCACGAAAGCGUGGGGAGCAAACAGG
rnacentral:rRNA from 1 species